rnacentral:rRNA from 1 species
UACGUAGGAGGCGAGCGUUAUCCGGAUUUACUGGGCGUAAAGCGCUUGUAGGCGGCGUUGUAAGUUGGGGGUGAAAGCUCCGGGCUUAACCCGGAGAGGCCGUCCGAUACUGCGAGGCUAGAGGGUGCGAGAGGAAGGAGGAAUUCCUGGUGUAGCGGUGAGAUGCGUAGAUAUCAGGAAGAACACCCGUGGCGAAGGCGGCCUUCUGGGGCAUUCCUGACGCUGAGAAGCGAAAGCUAGGGGAGCAAACAGG